rnacentral:rRNA from 1 species
AACGUAGGAGACAAACGUUAUCCGGAGUUACUGGGCGUAAAGGGCGUGUAGGUGGUUUCGUAAGUCUGGCGUGAAAUUUUUCGGCUUAACCGGGAAAGGUCGUCGGAUACUGCAGAACUAGAGGACGGUAGAGGCGUGUGGAAUUCCGAGUGUAGAGGUGAAAUGCGCAGAUAUCAGGAGGAACACCAAUGGCGAAGGCAGCUCGCUGGGACGUGACUGACGCUGAGACGCGAAAGCGUGGGGAGCAAACAGG